rnacentral:rRNA from 1 species
UACGGGGGAGCAAGCGUUGUUCGGAUUACUGGCGUAAAGGGCGCGUAGGCGGUCAGCACAAGUCAGUUGUGAAAUCUCCGGGCUUAACCCGGAAAGGUCAACUGAUACUGUGCGACUAGAGUGCGGAAGGGGCAACUGGAAUUCUCGGUGUAGCGGUGAAAUGCGUAGAUAUCGAGAGGAACACCUGCGGCGAAGGCGGGUUGCUGGGCCGACACUGACGCUGAUGCGCGAAAGCCAGGGAGCGAAGCGGG